rnacentral:rRNA from 1 species
UGGGGAAUCUUGGACAAUGGGGGCAACCCUGAUCCAGCCAUGCCGCGUGAGUGAUGAAGGCCUUAGGGUCGUAAAGCUCUUUCGCCUGUGAAGAUAAUGACGGUAGCAGGUAAAGAAACCCCGGCUAACUCCGUGCCAGCAGCCGCGGUAAUACGGAGGGGGUUAGCGUUGUUCGGAAUUACUGGGCGUAAAGCGCACGUAGGCGGACCAGAAAGUUGGGGGUGAAAUCCCGGGGGCUCAACCCCGGAACUGCCUCCAAAACUAUUGGUCUAGAGUUCGAGAGAGGUGAGUGGAAUUCCAAGUGUAGAGGUGAAAUUCGUAGAUAUUUGGAGGAACACCAGUGGCGAAGGCGGCUCACUGGCUCGAUACUGACGCUGAGGUGCGAAAGUGUGGGGAGCAAACAGGAUUAGAUACCCUGGUAGUCCACGCCGUAAAACGAUGAGCACUCGGUG